UACGUAGGCAGCAAGCGUUGUUCGGAGUUACUGGGCGUAAAGGGUGUGUAGGCGGUUGGAUAAGUGUGGUGUGAAAUCUCCCGGCUUAACUGGGAGGGUGCGCUACAAACUGUCUGACUAGAGUGUGGGAUGGGUAAGUGGAAUUCCUGGUGUAGCGGUGAAAUGCGUAGAUAUCAGGAGGAACACCAAAGGCGAAGGCAGUGUCCUGGGGAGUACCUGACGCUCAGGUGCGAAAGCCAGGGGAGCGAACGGG
rnacentral:rRNA from 1 species